rnacentral:lncRNA from 1 species
GUUAUUUCUCAAUUGACUUCAUUUUGCUUUGUGCCAAGGUCCCCUGAGUAAUGUGAAAGAAAAUUAAAAUGCCUAUUCUGAUGUAAUGAUUGAAUAAAACAUAAAGGGAUAGUAACAGUCAAAUUAGAUCCUCUUGCUGCUUGUUGCCAAGAGUAGUUGGUUCAUUAAACCAAAGCAGGAUGGAAGUGAUGAGCAAUGUGCUUGCUCAAAGGAUUCCUCUCUUGAGAAGGUUGCUGGUGUUACUCUAGAUCCUUAAGAUCAUCUUCUGGUGCUUGCUGACUGCCUCUGAGGAAUAAGCCUUGAUGUCAUAUUACCUGUCUGUGAUCCAUCUGCCUUAGUUACUUUCUCUCAUGCUGCAUUGGUUUGGAAAAGAAAGAAAAGUCAGGAAAAUUGUGACUUUCACCUGUGUGAGUGCUUUGGAGAGAACAAGACUGAGUCUUCUUAUGAUUGCCAAGUCUUUGCCCAUUCAUCUACUGAUUGUGAAUAUUCUCAGAGAGGUACACAGGUGGGAAAGCAACAGAACAUCCCUGUAGCUACAUCUAGUACCUCUCCCUGUACAAGAGAGCACAGGUUUGCCCCAGAAGACAUUUCCUUGUGCUGUACUGAUAUGCUCUCAAGCUCUGGCUGAAGGGACUCCUGGUGAGCACUGUUGGUUUGCUCAGGAGGUGGAAUAACUCAUCUUUUCUGAAUGAGAAGAGCUAUAUUCUGAAAUAUACAGGUGCCAAUGAGCUCAAGGAAAUGAAACCUUUUUGAAGAACUCCACUUUUGGUCAGAUUUUA